rnacentral:rRNA from 1 species
GACAGAGGAUGCAAGCGUUAUCCGGAAUGAUUGGGCGUAAAGCGUCUGUAGGUGGCUUUUUAAGUCCGCCGUCAAAUCCCAGGGCUCAACCCUGGACAGGCGGUGGAAACUACCAAGCUGGAGUACGGUAGGGGCAGGAGGGAAUUUCCGGUGGAGCGGUGAAAUGCGUAGAGAUCGGAAAGAACACCAACGGCGAAAGCACUCUGCUGGGCCGACACUGACGCUCAUGCACGAAAGCGUGGGGAGCAAACAGG